UAAAGAGAGGGAAGCAGCAGGAAGUAACGGUGGAGAUCGAUAAAGCAGAGUGAGAUACCAGAUUGAUUCUCAGAGAUUUUGAGACCUUCAAAUUAGCAGACAACAACUGCUAUUGCAUAAUUUCUUGAAGUUCAUCUCUGUGGCUCUCUACACUACCUUUUCUGUUGGAUUCAGUCUCCUCUUCUGCAAACAAAGAAAACAUUCAAAUAGAGUCAGGACAAUGAAUUAAACAUUCCCACUUUGGAUUUCUUCAGAAUCACUACAAAAAUCUUGCAGCGCAGAUGUAGAAGGAGAAGGCAGUUUGUCUCUCUCUUUCAACUGUUGUUUGGGACAACUCGUCCUACUCUCAUCUGGCAGCUCCCCCAGACUACCAUUUCCCCAUUUGACUGCAUGUUGGCUGGUUCUGGAGAGCCUUUAUUGUUGAGUGUCAUGGAUUUCCUCUUUAUCCUGAAAUCCACAGUCAUUUUGUAGUGGUAGUAGAUCACAUAGAUGGGGCUUUCUUGAUUAAACUGAUAUACAACU